rnacentral:piRNA from 1 species
UCAGUCUAAAGGGAAUAGACAACAUUGA